UAUCGGAUUACUGGGCGUAAAGCGUGCGCAGGCGGUUCUUUAAGACCGAUGUGAAAUCCCCGGGCUUAACCUGGGAACUGCAUUGGUGACUGCCUCGCUGGAGUAUGGCAGAGGGGGGUAGAAUUCCACGUGUAGCAGUGAAAUGCGUAGAGAUGUGGAGGAAUACCGAUGGCGAAGGCAGCCCCCUGGGCCAAUACUGACGCUCAUGCACGAAAGCAUGGGGAGCAAACAGGAUUAAAC
rnacentral:rRNA from 1 species